rnacentral:rRNA from 1 species
AUACGUAGGGGGCGAGCGUUGUCCGGAUUUACUGGGCGUAAAGGGUGAGUAGGCGGUUAUAUGUGUCAGAUGUAAAAGGCGUAGGCUCAACUUACGUUAGCAUUUGAAACUGUAUAACUUGAGUGCAGGAGAGGUAAGUGGAAUUCCUAGUGUAGCGGUGAAAUGCGUAGAUAUUAGGAGGAACACCAGUAGCGAAGGCGGCUUUCUGGACUGUAACUGACACUGAGGCACGAAAGCGUGGGGAGC